rnacentral:lncRNA from 1 species
AAAAAGUCAAAAUUUUAAAUAAAUGCAGAGUCUGGUUUAAAUCCGAUUCACUGUAUUAAUUUUUGAGGGUAUUUGUUUUGCUUAUUUAUUCAAGAGCCACUAUGUUAUAGGUGUUGGUUUUGGUUCUUUAAUAGGACAUGUAGUUCACUUGUCCUUAAGGAAUUUGGGUGAUUUGAUAUUCAUGUUCUGGGGCCUAAGGGCAUGAGUGAUGGCGACAUGGAGAGACUUGAGAGAAUUACAUUUGUAUUUGUUACCUAGAAUUGUAUGUUUGUAAACAUUUGCAGGCACCCACCAAUGACUAGUUGGUUUCCAGUUUGCCCUAUUUGGAAAUAAGUGUAAGUGGCUGCGUACGUAGGUUUGUAACUAAUGUAAUUUAAACUAUGAUAAUAACUGAUAAUUAAAACUGUGUCAGAAGACAAGUUAGGUUAUGGGUACGUGAGUUGUGUAAACCCAUCAAGUACAGUAUUGAACAUCCUUGUAACAAUUUGUAUGAG